UGUUCCCUGCGUUUCCUAAGUUUAUUAACCAAAAUGCAGUUUGCUGAGCUCCGAGCCUCAUUGCUUCAGCAUUUGGGUCCUCCACCAACCUCCACACGUGACAGUAACUCAGUGUUAUGUACUUACCUGACACUAAUCAGUUUACAAGAGCAGGCACCAAUUAUUUUUAAUUGGAAGCUAUUUAAUUUUUGACCAAAAAAAAAAAAAGAAAAAAAAAGAAAAAAAAUAUCAGCUCCCCCUCUAAAUGAACUUGUGUGUGUGUCUUUUGAGUGCAUAGCUAAUUGAAGCUUCACACACACUGGCCACAGUAAUGAAGUUGCUCAUCUGUGUGCAUGCCCUGGUUCGAUAAGCCUGCCGAUGGAGCUUCUGCCGCACUGGAUGCUGAGGUCUUGCUGUUGACAGUGCUGAUGUGAUUUCCCAUGGGGCAAUGCGGCGUGACAUUACUAAGCAGCGAGGAGAUUGACGCUGGGCUGCCAACAUCUUUUCUUGCAGCAGCCAAUCCACCCAGCAACAAGAUCUCUCUGACACCAUGUGGCUUUAUUUGAAAAUGUAGCAUCUGCCAAGCUGUUUUAAAGGGAUACUUCACCCAUUUUGAAAAAUGUGAUACUAUUUCACACCCCCCUGGUGUAAGUUCCCACCCACUAAGUGUACAACAGGUACAAAAUCAGUACAUAACAAAAUGCCAUUUAACAUGACAAUCUUUGUUAGUAAGAGCACACAACAUCUGAAAUAGCAAAUAAAUUAGGUCAUCAAUAAAU